ACUUAAAUAGUUUAAUUAAAACAUUGAUUUGUGGUGUCAAAAAUAUAAAAAAAAAAUUAUUUUAGGUU
rnacentral:tRNA from 1 species